rnacentral:rRNA from 1 species
CUACGGGUGGCACCAGUGGGGAAUAUUGGACAAUGGGGGAAACCCUGAUCCAGCAAUGCCGCGUGUGUGAAGAAGGCCUGCGGGUUGUAAAGCACUUUCGGUUGGGAGGACUGCUUCUAGCACUAAUAUUGUUGGAAGUUGACGUUACCUUCAGAAGAAGCACCGGCUAACUCCGUGCCAGCAGCCGUGGUAAUACGGAGGGUGCAAGCGUUAAUCGGAAUUACUGGGCGUAAAGCGCGCGUAGGCGGCUAGAUCAGUCGGGGGUGAAAGCCCCGGGCUUAACCUGGGAACUGCAUCCGAUACUGUCUAGCUUGAGUACAGGAGAGGAGAGUGGAAUUCCACAUGUAGCGGUGAAAUGCGUAGAUAUGUGGAGGAACACCAAUGGCGAAGGCAGCUCUCUGGCCUGAUACUGACGCUGAGGUGCGAAAGCGUGGGGAGCAAACAGGAUUAGAUACCCGCGUAGUC